CAGUUUCAAUCACUUUCAUCAAUAUGGUAUUGUUCAAAGGUAUUGUUCCUCCAAAAGGUUGUGAUGAGUUCAUGUACAGUGGACAGAAAGGCUUGCAGAGGCUCUUUGUUCUUGACCUACUGUGUGUGCCUUGGAUACUUCUUGCAAAACCCAAUGUUUCGAUAAUGACCGCAAAGCCCACCAACUGACAAUCUUCUGACUUUCCCCAACUUUCAAGCCAUCCCGUACCUGCAGAGAAUGGCAUGGAUGUGGAGGUGGGACAGCACACUAAGGACAGUAAAGAUAGGGCUCCCAUGCUGCAGAGCAGUGAAGACCACGACCUGGGAGAAAUCUUCAUCCAUCAGGGCAUCCACACGAUGGAGUACAUGCUAGGCUCUCACGCUGCCUUGUAUCUGUGACUUUGGGCACUGUCA